CAGAGACGUAAUAAAAAGCUCUCUGAACUGUGGAGAUUCUGGAUCAGUAGCCGUACCUGGUGCUAAUCAAAUCACCAUGAGCUCCAUCUGUCUCCUGCUGUUUCUGACAGCUGUGUCGUGUGUGGAUUCGGUUGAAUUUACUCAGUCAGAUAAUAUAGUGGUGCGACCCGGAGAGGUGUUUACCAUCUCCUGUAAAUUCUCUGGGUUCUCAAUAUCCAGCAACUGUCCACACUGGAUUCGACAAACGCCAUCCAAGACUUUGGAAAAUAUCGGAUAUGUGUGUGGCAGCAGCUCUUCUGUAAAGGACUCACUCAAGAACAAAAUCAGUUUCUCUGCAGACGUUUCCAGCAGCACAGUGUUUUUAAAGGGGCAAAACUUUCAGACUGAGGACACAGCUGUGUAUUACUGUGCCCGAGGGCCACAGUCAUUCAGAUUACAUAUACAGCUGUACAAAAACCAAGGUCACGCUGUGAUGAGCACCAUUUACAGUAGUCUGCAUUUGGUCAUGUCAAUGAUGAACAUUUGACAAAGACCUGACUGAAGAGUGAACAUUGUAUUGCAGACAUUUGUGGUUGCUAAUUUCAACAAGAAAAAAUAAAUUAAAUAAAAUCUUGAAAAUUCUGUAUAUUCAAGCACAUGCAGUAGCAGUCAUGAUGAAGUGAUACAUAACAUGCAACUUAAUACUAACGCUAAUUGUCUAGUAUGAAUAAAUCUGAA